rnacentral:snRNA from 1 species
UAACUCUGCCGCUCAAAUAAAUAAUCUUUCGAAGCUGCACUCUCGGUCGAAGAGUACGUCCUUCCCCGCUAGAGGAGGACCAGGUCUUCGGUCAAGGGUAUACGAGUAGCUGCGCUCCCCUGCUAGAACCUCCAAACAAGCUCUCAAAUAAAUAAUCUUUAAAAAUAAGUAAAUCUUUAAAAUACACAAUGAGCACAAUU